rnacentral:rRNA from 1 species
GGAGNGGAAAGUGGAAUUCCUAGUGUAGCGGUGAAAUGCGUAGAUAUUAGGAAGANCACCAGUGGCGAAGGCGACUUUCUGGACGAAAACUGACGCUGAGGCGCGAAAGCCAGGGGAGCGAACGGGAUUAGAUACCCCGGUAGUCCUGNCCGUAAACGAUGGGUACUAGGUGUAGGAGGUAUCGACCCNUUCUGUGCCGGAGUUAACGCAAUAAGUACCCCGCCUGGGGAGUACGACCGCAAGGUUGAAACUCAAAGGAAUUGACGGGGGCCCGCACAAGCGGUGGAGUAUGUGGUUUAAUUCGACGCAACGCGAAGAACCUUACCAGGUCUUGACAUUGAUGGACAGAACUAGAGAUAGUUCCUCUUCUUCGGAAGCCAGAAAACAGGUGGUGCACGGUUGUCGUCAGCUCGUGUCGUGAGAUGUUGGGUUAAGUCCCGCAACGAGCGCAACCCCUAUCUUAUGUUGCCAGCACGUAAUGGUGGGAACUCAUGAGAGACUGCCGCAGACAAUGCGGAGGAAGGCGGGGAUGACGUCAAAUCAUCAUGCCCCUUAUGACCUGGGCUACACACGUACUACAAUGGGAGUUAAUAGACGGAAGCGAGAUCGCGAGAUGGAGCAAACCCGAGAAACACUCUCUCAGUUCGGAUAGUAGGCUGCAACUCGCCUACGUGAAGUCGGAAUCGCUAGUAAUCGCAGGUCAGCAUACUGCGGUGAAUACGUUCCCGGGCCUUGUACACACCGCCC